rnacentral:rRNA from 1 species
GACGAACGCUGGCGGCGUGCCUAAUCCAUGCAAGUCGAACGCGUGGCGGACGGGUGAGUAAUGCUUGGGAAUCUAGCUUAUGGAGGGGGAUAACUCCGGGAAACUGUAGCUAAUACCGCGUACCAUAGGGUGAGCCCAAGUGGGAUUAGGUAGUUGGUGAGGUAAAGGCUCACCAAGCCGACGAUCUCUAGCUGGUCUGAGAGGAUGACCAGCCACACUGGGACUGAGACACGGCCCAGACUCCUACGGGAGGCAGCAGUGGGGAAUAUUGCGCAAUGGGGGCAACCUGACGCAGCCAUGCCGCGUGAAUGAAGAAGGCCUUCGGGUUGUAAAGUUCUUUCGGUAGAGAGGCGUUAACUACAGAAGAAGCACCGGCUAACUCCGUGCCAGCCGCCGCGGUAAUUC